GGCCACCCCCGCGCGGCCAGCUCACCUUCUCGCCUUUCUCUCCCGGGAGACCGGCCACCCCCCGGUCGCCCUGCAAAUUGAGCACAGCGAGUCAGAGCGGCGACGGACCCCCACCCGCCGCCGCCGCCGCCGCCCGGAACGCGGGGGGAGGGGAGACGCUGGUACUCACCACGCCGCCGCGGGGUCCGGUCUUCCCUGGGGAGCCCUGCAGCAAGCGGGCAGUCAGGACUUGGACCGCCUGGGACCCGCCGGACGUAUUUUUCCGCGAAGAUCUGGAGCGCUGAGGAAGGACCUAACUGAGCUCCAGCCCCCCCAGGUCCUGAAGCCUCUUGCCCAGGUGAAAGAACUAAGGCACAGAAAGAGGGCCUCUCCCAAGGUCACAGAGCCAACCCGCCAGCAACAGAGCUCAAUCCAGAAUCUCAGGCUCCUCGUCCUCUGAAGCUUGGACACAGUUGACCCUGCUCUCUGUCUGGGGCACAUUGUCCACCUCCAAGCCUGGACCUCCACAUGAUGCUCCCUGACAACCUGCUGUCCUGCAGCUGUCACAGAUGGAGACGUCACAUCCCUCAGGGUCAGAAUGUGGGAUCAGCAGCCACAUUAUUUCUUUGAGUGCUUCUCCAGAAAUGUGCUUGUAGGAGACUCUACUCCCUCAGGCGCCAACUGGUUCUAUCACCCCUCCUCUUUUCUCUGGGUCCUUUCCCUCACUCACUAAUGAUUUGGGCACCUGGGUCACAUCUUCCCCUCCUCUCAGGGUCCUGCCAUCUGGGGCGCCUCACCAUCUUCUUGGAUGACCCUUUCAACAUCCCAGAUCCCAUUGCCUUAACCACCUCAUUUCUAGUGAUCAUCUCCUCAAUUCCACUUCAGCCAUAUUCUCAAGGCCAUACCUGGGGCGUUGGCUUCAUUCAGAGUGCCUCAGCUCCGAAAUAUUUAAACCAAUCAACCCUGGGAUCCCUGAGCCACCGUGCAGGAAGUCUGACCAUCCUGCUGGGGAGACUACACGGAGAGAGAUGCCCAGCCGAGCCCAGCCUUCCAGCGGUCCACACCAAAGCACCAGGCAUUUUGAACCUUCCAGACCUGCCUGAUCAUCUGCUAAACGCCACUGAGGGCCUGAGGAAACUCCACAUGGAACAGAAGAAUUGCCCAGCUAAGCCUCAAUUGCAGUUGCGAGUUUUUUAAAAAAGAUUUUAAGAUCUUUUUUUAAUUUUGAAAUAAUCAUAAAUUCACAAGGAGCUUCAAAAAUAGUAUAGAAAAGUCCCAUGUUCCCUGUAUCCAAUGUAUCUCAAUCAUAGUGUCUUGCAUAGCUAUAGAACAAUAACAAAACCAGGAAAUUUGCAGUAUAAUUCAAGCACAUUGUAAUUUUCAGCAAACCUGUACUGGAUGGGUUUUGGUAGUAGUUUUGUUAGUUAUAUGUUAUAAAUAUAUAAUUUCUAAGUGAUUGUGAAUGGUAUUUUAUUUUAUUUUUAAAGUUUAUUAUUUAUUUUGAGUGAGAGAGAGAGAGCACACAUGCAAGUGGGGGUGGGGCAGAGAGAGAGAGAGAAUCCCAAGGAGGCUCCCCACCAUCAGUGGGGAGCCUGAUGCAGGGCUUGAACCCACAAACUGCGGGACCAUGACCUGAGAUCAAGUCUGAUGCCUAACCAACUGAGCCACCCAGGCACCCUCUUAUUGUAUUUUAAAUUUCUCCUCCACGUGUUCACUGCUAUCAUAUGUAAAUACAAUUGAUCUUUGUAUAUUUAUAUCCCAAUACCUUGUUGAACUCAAUUCUAGCAGGUUUUGUUUGGGGGUAGAUUUAAACAUUUUUCCAUGUGAACAGCCAUCUGCAAAUAGAGACAGUUUUCUAUUUUC